rnacentral:rRNA from 1 species
AAAGGAAUAGACGGGGGCCCGCACAAGCGGAGGAGCAUGUGGUUUAAUUCGAUGAUACGCGAGGAACCUUACCCGGGCUUGAAUUGCAGUGGAAUGAGCAGGAAACUGUUCAGUCUUCGGACCACUGUGAAGGUGCUGCAUGGUUGUCGUCAGCUCGUGCCGUGAGGUGUUAGGUUAAGUCCUGCAACGAGCGCAACCCUUACACUUAGUUGCCAGCACGUUAAGGUGGGGACUCUGAGUGAACUGCCUACGCAAGUAGAGAGGAAGGUGGGGAUGACGUCAAAUCAGCACGGCCCUUAUGUUCGGGGCUACACACGUGCUACAAUGGUCGGUACAGAGGGCAGCUACCCCGCGAGGGGAUGCGAAUCUCAAAAGCCGAUCUCAGUUCGGAUCGGAGUCUGUAACUCGACUCCGUGAAGUUGGAUUCGCUAGUAAUCGCGCAUCAGCCAUGGCGCGGUGAAUACGUUCCCGGGCCUUGUACACACCGCCCGU